GCACACGGAUAAAGGGAAAGUGGGGUGUAUAUAAAGAAAGAAUGCAGGGCGAUGAAAUUUAAAUGAAACACAAUAGUUCUCUUCCUCUUGUUGCAGGAGGGGGAACAUAAGGCUAUUUGUUUUUUCCCCCUUUUUCUACUGUAUGGCAUCGGGAGACUCCUGUGAAAGAGCAGUUGAGACAACAGACGGAGAUGAACACACUCCAGCUGGAGAACGAUGAAUGGCCCAGGGGACUUGGACUGAGGGAACACGUGCAGACCCAAUCAACAGACAAUACCGCGCGGCUUGAGGUUGCCAGGGCACAGUAGGGGUUCCAUAAGCGUUGGUUUAAGCGUCUGUGGUGAUGGGGUCUUUGAAGAUGGAGGAAGACAUCUGUCUGGAUGACAAGGACAGGACAAGUCAACCUGUCUCACCUCAAGGACUGCUGGCUAUGGGGAUGGAUGAUAGCACCAGAAAAAAAUGUAUGUUCCUCAAAUACAUGAAGUUCUAUCAAGCCAUCCAGAACUAUAGUAUGUGAAAUUAUGCUAAAUCAAGUUUCGUUGGAAAUGUCCACUUCCUGUGUUUAAGACCGAUGUAUGCAGUGGCCUAGCAAGACAACUCUUUAAGAUCUUCUACAUGUUUCAAUCUUUCUUACUGUAGCUAUAUGCAGUAUUACUAUCUGUGUGUUUAGAGUCAAUGUGACUAACUGCCUGCCCCAGGGUCAAAUCCCUCUCUUUAUAAACUGGGUGGUUCGAACCCUGAGUGCUGAUUGGCUGAAAGCUGUGGUAUAUCAGACCGUAUACGAUGGGUAUGACAAAAAACAUCUAUGUUUACAUCUAUGUUUACUGUUCUAAUUACAUUUGUAACAAGUUUCUAGCAAUAAGACACCUCAGGGGUUUGUGGUAUAUGGCCAAUAUCCACAAAAUGACAUAAAGUAUGUGGACACCUGCUCGUCGAACAUUUCAUUCCAAAGUCAUGGGCAUUAAUAUGGAGUUGGUCCCCCCUUUGCUGCUAUAACAGCCUCCACUCUUCUGGGAAGGCUUUCCACUAGAUGUUGGAACAUUGCUGCAGGGACUUGCUUGAAAUCCAGCCAUAAGAGCAGUAGUGAGGUCAGGCACUGACGUUGGGCGAUUAGGCCUGGCUCACAUUCGGCUUUCCAAUUCAUCCCAUAGGUGUUCGAUGGAGUUUGAGGCCAGUCAAGUUCUUCCACACCGAUCUCGACAAACCAUUUCUGUAUGGACCUCGCUUUGUGCACAGGGGCAUUUUCAUGCUGAAACAGGAAAAGGCCUUCCCCAAACUGUUGGAAGCACAGAAUCAUCUAGAAUGUCAUUGUAUGGUGUAGCGUUAAGAUUUCCCUUCACUCGAAAUAAGGGGCCUAGCCCAAACCAUGAAAAACAGCCCCAGUCCAUUAUUCCUCCUCCACCAAACUUUACAGUUGGCACUAUGCAUUCGGACAGGUAGCAUUCUCCUGGCAUUUGCCAAACCCAUUUCCACUGCUCCAGAGUCCAAUAGCUUUACACUACUCCAGCCAACACGUGGCAUUGCGCAUGGCUUGUGUGCGGCUGCUCGGCCAUGGAAACCCAUUUCAUGAAGCUCCCGACGAACAGUUCUUGUGCUGACGUUGCUUCCAGAGGCAGUUUGGAAUUCGGUAGUGAGUGUUGCAACUGAGGUCAGACACGCUUCAGCACUCGCCGGUCCCGUUCUGUGAGCUUGUGUAGCCUACCACAUCGCGGCUGAGCCGUUGUUGCUCCUAGACAUUUCCACUUCACAAUAGCAGCACUCACAGUUGACCGGUGCAGCUAAAGCAGGACAGAAUUUGACGAACUGACUUAUUGGAAAGGUGGCAUCCUAUGACGGUGCCACAUUGAAAGUCACCGAGCUCUUCAGUAAGGCCAUUCUACUGCCAAUGUUUGUCUAUGGAGAUUGCAUGGCGGUGUGCUGUAUUUUAUACAACUGUCAGCAAUGGGUAUGGUUGAAAUAGCUGAAUCCACUAAUUUGAAGAGGUGUCCACAUAGUUUUGUAUAUAUAGUGUACCACGGCUUAGGGCUGUAUCCAAGAACAGCUCAUAGCUGUGGUAUAUUGGCCAUAUACCACACCUCCUCGGGCCUUAUUACUUAAUUUGAGCUCUUCACUGGGAACAAACCAACAGGAUCAAGUUCCGCUGCUGACAAGAAGCCCCAGCUACGUCAAGUGUUAAGUUCCACACAAUAGUCUCCACAGCACACGGCCUGUCCUUACUGCCUAUUGAAUAACACACAUCGUUGCCCGGCGAGGAGACAAGGAAACGUGUCAAACUGAUAUCAAAAGGGUUUCUGCAUGGUAGUCAUGUCAUUGUCACUUAUAUGGUAUGUGUGAUAAGCAACAGGAAGGUAAGUUACUGUGAACUCAAGAACCAAAUGUCACUUUGGUCAACAUAAAUGAUAAACCACGAUACAAUUGUGUCUACUGUGUUAUAUAACCAUGGUGAAUAAAAUUAUA